GAUGAAGAACGCAGCGAAAUGCGAUAAGUAGUGUGAAUUGCAGAAUUCAGUGAAUCAUCGAAUCUUUGAACGCACAUUGCGCCCGCCAGUAUUCUGGCGGGCAUGCCUGUUCGAGCGUCAUUUCAACCAUCAAGCCCCCGGCUUGUGUUGGGGACCUGCGGCUGCCGCAGGCCCUGAAAAGCAGUGGCGGGCUCGCUGUAACACCGAGCGUAGUAGCAUACAUCUCGCUCUGGGCGUGCUGCGGGUUCCGGCCGUUAAACCACCUUCAUAACCCAAGGUUGACCUCGGAUCAGGUAGGAAGACCCGCUGAACUUAAGCAUAUCAAUAAGCGGAGGA
rnacentral:misc_RNA from 1 species